AGAAAACUCUCACUGAUGUCAACAUCUGGGCCUGCAGCUAAACACAAAAGGAAGUUGAGAAGCUUCUACAGUAUUCCAACCCUGGACUAGGGAAGGAGCAGUGAUCUUGAUGCAUCUCACGUCUCCUCUGUUUUCUAGUGGUUUACACUGAGAAGAUAAUUCUAGAUUCUAUUCCUCUCUUAUGGCUGGGAUCAGAGAUCCAGAACCCAGACAACAAGAAGUACAUGGCUACAAACCUUGAAAGAAGAUAAAUAAAUGAGGUGAUUCUCUGUCAGGAGGGAAUUUCUGGAUAGUGGUGCAGGGAAAGAAAACUCCAACAGAAGCCAGGUAUCUUUGUUGAAGAUAAAGAAUUGGAAUUUGUGGAGGCUAAGGCCGUUAGAAUGUGAAGGACAGAGUAUCCAAGAGGAGGAAGGUAUGCAGAGAAAGAAUUCCAGAAAUCUGCAUACAAGACCUUCAAGUCUUUGAUACCAGACUGCACGUGCAUCGGAUAAAACCUCAUAGGGCAAGGAAACAACAUCCUCUGAGGAAAGAGUAGAAUAU